GUGGGGAAUCUUCCGCAAUGGACGAAAGUCUGACGGAGCAACGCCGCGUGAGUGAAGAAGGUUUUCGGAUCGUAAAGCUCUUUCGUUAGGGACGAACGUGCUCUUUGUGAAUAAUGAGGAGUAAUGACGGUACCUAAAUAAGAAGCCACGGCUAACUACGUGCCAGCAGCCGCGGUAAUACGUAGGUGGCAAGCGUUGUCCGGAAUUAUUGGGCGUAAAGCGCGCGCAGGCGGGAUAUCAAGUCUGUCUUAAAAGUGCGAGGCUCAACCUCGUGAGGGGACAGAAACUGGUAUUCUUGAGUGUCGGAGAGGAAAGUGGAAUUCCAAGUGUAGCGGUGAAAUGCGUAGAGAUUUGGAAGAACACCAGUGGCGAAGGCGACUUUCUGGACGAUGUCUGACGCUGAGGUUCGAAAGCGUGGGUAGCAAACAGGAUUAGAAACCCUUGUAGUCC
rnacentral:rRNA from 1 species